CCAUGUCACAUUGAAACACCAAUUCUCAUCUGAUCACUGAAGUGAAGUAGUGUCAAGCCUGAUCAGUAACUAAGAUGGGUAACUGCUUGGGAAUACCAGGUACUGUAAG